AAUUAGCACGCGUUAAGGAUUGAAGUGGCAUCCUUUUGCUUUUUCUGCAAAAGAUAGAACGGAAAGCCUGUUAAAAC
rnacentral:sRNA from 1 species